rnacentral:rRNA from 1 species
UUAAGUGACUAAGCGUACAAGGUGGAUGCCUUGGCAAUCAGAGGCGAAGAAGGACGUGCUAAUCUGCGAAAAGCUUGGAUGAGUCGAUAAGAGGCGUUUAAUCCAAGAUAUCCGAAUGGGGAAACCCAGUAGAUGAAGAAUCUACUAUCAACAAGUGAAUUCAUAGCUUGUUGAGGCAAACCGGGAGAACUGAAACAUCUAAGUACCCGAGGAAAAGAAAUCAACCGAGAUUUCGUCAGUAGUGGCGAGCGAAAGCGAAAGAGCCAGUAAGUGAUAGCAGUAUAGUUAGGAGAAUGUGUUGGGAAGCACAAUCAAAGAGGGUGAUAAUCCCGUAUCUAAAAACCAUAUUGUGGUACUAAGCUAACGAGAAGUAGGGCGGGACACGUGAUAUCCUGUUUGAAGAAGGGGGACCAUCCUCCAAGGCUAAAUACUCCUGAUUGACCGAUAGUGAACCAGUACUGUGAAGGAAAGGCGAAAAGAACCCCGGUGAGGGAGUGAAAUAGAACCUGAAACCUUGUACGUACAAGCAGUGGGAGCCCCAUCACUUAAUCCGAUUGGAAGGUGAUGAAAAGCAACCGCACUUAAACAAUGGUAAGAGGAGCGAAGCGAGUCAAACCACCCAAAAGAAGCAGUGGGAUUAAGUGAUGGGGUGACUGCGUACCUUUUGUAUAAUGGGUCAGCGACUUAUAUUUUGUAGCGAGGUUAACCGAAUAGGGGAGCCGAAGGGAAACCGAGUCUUAACUGGGCGAAGAGUUGCAAGGUAUAGACCCGAAACCCGGUGAUCUAGCCAUGGGCAGGUUGAAGGUUGGGUAACACUAACUGGAGGACCGAACCGACUAAUGUUGAAAAAUUAGCGGAUGACUUGUGGCUGGGGGUGAAAGGCCAAUCAAACCGGGAGAUAGCUGGUUCUCCCCGAAAUCUAUUUAGGGUAGAGCCUUGAGGUGACACCUUUGGGGGUAGAGCACUGUUUCGGCUAGGGGUCCAUCCCGGAUUACCAACCCGAUGCAAACUACGAAUACCAAAGAGUGAUACUCAGGAGACACACGGCGGGUGCUAACGUCCGUCGUGGAGAGGAAACAACCCAGACCGCCAGCUAAGGUCCCCAAGUCUAUAUUAAGUGGGAAACGAAGUGGGAAGGCUUAGACAGCUAGGAUGUUGGCUUAGAAGCAGCCAUCAUUUAAAGAAAGCGUAAUAGCUCACUAGUCGAGUCGGCCUGCGCGGAAGAUGUAACGGGGCUGAAAUAUAGCACCGAAGCUGCGGCAUCAGAAUUUAUUCUGUUGGGUAGGGGAGCGUUGUGUAAGCGGAAGAAGGUUUGAUCGAGAGGUGGGCUGGACGUAUCACAAGUGCGAAUGCUGACAUAAAGUAACGAUAAAACGGGUGAAAAACCCGUUCGCCGGAAGACCAAGGGUUCCUGUCCAACGUUAAUCGGGGCAGGGUGAGUCGGCUCCUAAGGCGAGGCUGAAAAGCGUAGUCGAUGGGAAACAGGUUAAUAUUCCUGUACUUGGUAAAGCUGCGAUGUGGGGACGGAGUAGGUUAGGUUAUCGCACUGUUGGAUAUGUGCGUUUAAGUUGGUAGGUGGGAAGUUUAGGCAAAUCCGGACUUCCUUAACACAGAGAGAUGAUGACGAGGCUCUACGGAGCUGAAGUAACUGAUACCACACUUCCAGGAAAAGCCACUAAGCGAAAGGCUUUACUAAACCGUACUGAAAACCGACACAGGUGGUCAGGUAGAGAAUACUCAGGCGCUUGAGAGAACUCGGGUGAAGGAACUAGGCAAAAUAGCACCGUAACUUCGGGAGAAGGUGCGCCGGCGUAGAUUGUAAGGGCUAGCCCCUGAAGGUUGAACCGGUCGAAGAUACCAGCUGGCUGCAACUGUUUAUUAAAAACACAGCACUCUGCAAACACGAAAGUGGACGUAUAGGUGUGAUGCCUGCCCCGGUGCUGGAAGGUUAAUUGAUGGUGUCAUCGAAAGAGAAGCACCUGAUCGAAGCCCCAGUAAACGGCGGCCGUAACUAUAACGGUCCUAAGGUAGCGAAAUUCCUUGUCGGGUAAGUUCCGACCUGCACGAAUGCAUAAUGAUGGCCAGGCUGUCUCCACCCGAGACUCAGUGAAAUUGAAAUCGCCGUGAAGAUGCGGUGUACCCGCGGCUAGACGGAAAGACCCCGUGAACCUUUACUAUAGCUUGACACUGAACAUUGAAUUUUGAUGUGUAGGAUAGGUGGGAGACUUAGAAGUAGGAACGCCAGUUUCUAUGGAGUCAUCCUUGAAAUACCACCCUUUAACGUUUGAUGUUCUAACGAAGAUGACGAAACGUGGUCUCGGACAGUGUCUGGUGGGUAGUUUGACUGGGGCGGUCUCCUCCCAAAGCGUAACGGAGGAGCACGAAGGUUUGCUAAUCACGGUCGGACAUCGUGAGGUUAGUGCAAUGGUAUAAGCAAGCUUAACUGCGAGACAGACAAGUCGAGCAGGUACGAAAGUAGGUCAUAGUGAUCCGGUGGUUCUGAAUGGAAGGGCCAUCGCUCAACGGAUAAAAGGUACUCCGGGGAUAACAGGCUGAUACCGCCCCAAGAGUUCAUAUCGACGGCGGUGUUUGGCACCUCGAUGUCGGCUCAUCACAUCCUGGGGCUGAAAGUAGGUCCCAAGGGUAUGGCUGUUCGCCAUUUAAAGUGGUACGCGAGCUGGGUUUAGAACGUCGUGAGACAGUUCGGUCCCUAUCUGCCGUGGGCGUAGGAGAAUUGGUUGGGGCUGCUCCUAGUACGAGAGGACCGGAGUGGACGCACCACUGGUGUUCCGGUUGUGUCGCCAGACGCAUUGCCGGGUAGCUAAGUGCGGAAGAGAUAAGUGCUGAAAGCAUCUAAGCACGAAACUUGCCAAGAGAUGAGUUCUCCAAUCUAAGAGAUAGUAAGGGUUGUUGUAGACUACGACGUAGAUAGGUCUGGUGUGUAAGUGUAGUGAUACAUUGAGCUAACAGCAUACUAAUUGCCCGAGAGGCUUAGCUAU